GAUUAUGGCUCAGGAUGAACGCUAGCGGCAGGCCUAGCACAUGCAAGUCGCGGGGCAGCACGGGUAGCAAUACCUGGUGGCGACCGGCGCACGGGUGCGUAACGCGUAUGCAACCUGCCCCCAUCAGGGGAAUAGCCCGCCGAAAGGCGGAUUAAUGCCCCAUAGGCCCAGGGCGCCGCAUGGCGCUAUGGGUAAAGCUCCGGCGGAUGGGGAUGGGCAUGCGUGCCAUUAGCUAGUUGGGGCGGUAACGGCGCACCAAGGCGACGAUGGCUAGGGGGUCUGAGAGGAUGGUCCCCCACACUGGUACUGAGACACGGACCAGACUCCUACGGGAGGCGGCAGUGAGGAAUAUUGGUCAAUGGGCGGAAGCCUGAACCAGCCAUGCCGCGUGCAGGAUGACGGCCCUACGGGUUGUAAACUGCUUUUCCCCGGGAAGAAUAAGCCCCUCGUGAGGGGUGACUGCCGGUACCGGGGGAAUAAGGAUCGGCUAACUCCGUGCCAGCCGCUGC
rnacentral:rRNA from 1 species